rnacentral:rRNA from 1 species
CAGUUCGGUCCCUAUCUGUUGCGGGCGGAAGAGAUUUGAAGGGAGCUGUCCUUAGUACGAGAGGACCGGGAUGGACGUACCUCUGGUGCACCAGUUGUCCUGCCAAGGGCAUAGCUGGGUAGCUAAGUACGGACGAGAUAAACGCUGAAAGCAUCUAAGCGUGAAACUCCCCCUAAGAUGAGAUCUCUCACCUCGAAAGAGGGUAAGGGCCCAGGAAGACUACCUGGUAGAUAGGCCGGAGGUGGAAGUGCAGUAAUGUAUGGAGCUGACCGGUACUAAUCGCCCGAGGGCUUGACCUA